UGAUCAUGGCUCAGAUUGAACGCUGGCGGCAGGCCUAACACAUGCAAGUCGAGCGGUAGCAGUCCUUCGGGAGCUGACGAGCGNCGGACGGGGAGGAAUGCUUGGGAAUCUGCCCGAUAGAGGGGGAUAACUACGGGAAACUGUAGCUAAUACCGCAUGAUCUCUAAGGAGCAAAGCGGGGGACCUUCGGGCCUCGCGCUAUCGGAUGAGCCCAAGUGGGAUUAGCUAGUUGGUAGGGUAAAGGCCUACCAAGGCGACGAUCUCUAACUGGUCUGAGAGGAUGAUCAGUCACACUGGAACUGAGACACGGUCCAGACUCCUACGGGAGGCAGCAGUGGGGAAUAUUGGACAAUGGGGGCAACCCUGAUCCAGCCAUGCCGCGUGGGUGAAGAAGGCCUUCGGGUUGUAAAGCCCUUUUGGCGGGGAGGAAGAGUGUAGGCGAAUAGUCUUGCACUUUGACGUUACCCGCA
rnacentral:rRNA from 1 species